UGAUUGCCCUCGAUUUCGCACAUAAGAUGCUCAUCUACAUAUGUUUGCCACGACAUCUUCUUCUGCUUCUUCUUCAAAUUCAGAGAUUUGAUGAAGCUUUUUUCUAGUUUCUGCGCUGUGCAAUGUGAGUAUGGGAUGCGCUUAGCUGAGUGUGUUCUUAUCUGCGAAGCCAGCAGACUGACAUCGCGUUAAAACGACGAGACGCGGUCGACAAACGGUGUUGUCU
rnacentral:misc_RNA from 1 species